rnacentral:rRNA from 1 species
ACGCUGGCGGCAGGCCUAACACAUGCAAGUCGAGCGGAAACGACAACAUUGAAUCUUCGGAGGAUUUGUUGGGCGUCGAGCGGCGGACGGGUGAGUAAUGCCUAGGAAAUUGCCUUGAUGUGGGGGAUAACCAUUGGAAACGAUGGCUAAUACCGCAUAAUGCCUACGGGCCAAAGAGGGGGAUCUUCGGRCCUCUCGCGUCAAGAUAUGCCUAGGUGGGAUUAGCUAGUUGGUGAGGUAAUGGCUCACCAAGGCGACGAUCCCUAGCUGGUCUGAGAGGAUGAUCAGCCACACUGGAACUGAGACACGGUCCAGACUCCUACGGGAGGCAGCAGUGGGGAAUAUUGCACAAUGGGCGAAAGCCUGAUGCAGCCAUGCCGCGUGUAUGAAGAAGGCCUUCGGGUUGUAAAGUACUUUCAGUUGUGAGGAAGGGUGUGUAGUUAAUAGCUGCGCAUCUUGACGUUAGCAACAGAAGAAGCACCGGCUAACUCCGUGCCAGCAGCCGCGGUAAUACGGAGGGUGCGAGCGUUAAUCGGAAUUACUGGGCGUAAAGCGCAUGCAGGUGGUUCAUUAAGUCAGAUGUGAAAGCCCGGGGCUCAACCUCGGAACUGCAUUUGAAACUGGUGAACUAGAGUGCUGUAGAGGGGGGUAGAAUUUCAGGUGUAGCGGUGAAAUGCGUAGAGAUCUGAAGGAAUACCAGUGGCGAAGGCGGCCCCCUGGACA